rnacentral:lncRNA from 1 species
CCAUAACUCAGGCUGAUAAAAUGUAUUUCUGAGGCCUUCUAUUUUGCCACAAUCUUACUGUCCCAGGAAUAGCCUGUGUGGGUUUAGCAGAAAUCAGCAGCAAUGCUUGGAAACAAAAGAGAUUAUAUGAAUCCAGUGAUAUACAACCAAACAAUGAGAUACUCUACACUGCAAAAAAAAUGAGAAUAUCUAGUUAUGAAAAAAAAUCUCUAAAAUUCACUUUUAGUAGGUACAGGAGAGUGUAUUCAGUACACAACAUUUAGUUUAAUAAGGCAGAAGAGAAUAGGAACAUAUAACUAUCCUUACUAAUUUAUUAUUUUAUUAUUUUUUUUGCUAUUAAAUGCCUCAUUUAUUUAUUUUUUAUGAUUAUUAUUUUUUUAAUAGUUAUUUCCCUAAUACAAUUUGUUUUCUACUGUACAUACCUGUACACAUUCUAUUUUCUCACAUUAUCGUGCUCCAUCAAAAGUGACCAGACAUAGUUCCCAGUGCUGCACAGCAGGAUCUCAUUGCUAACCCAUUCCAAAGGCAAUAGUUUGUAUCUAUUAACCCCAAGUUCCCCAACCACCCCCUCCCUCCCUCUCCCCCUUGGCAACCACAAGUCUCUUCUCCAAGUCCAUGAUUUUCUUUUCUGUGGAAAGGUUCAUUUGUGCCUUGUAUUAGAUUCCAGAUAUAAAUGAUAUCAUAUGGUAUUUGUCUUUCUCUUUCUGACUUCACUCAGUAUGAGAGUCUCUAGUCCCUCCAUGUUGCUGCAAAUGGCAUUUUUCCUUACUAAUUUAAUCUAUUUAUGUAUCAUUUCCUUGCAUUUGUAAAUAGAAACAAUGAAGGAUUUUUUUUUUAUAAAUAGGUUAUAGAGGACAGAAAUAAAAGCAGGACUUUUCCAAAUAUAUCUUAUUUAAUAAUUUUAGCUAGAGGCAUAUUCACGUACCAAAACAUGUAACUCAAUUAAACAUGUAAAGUUUCAAAGGUGAGACACAAAAACGAAAAACCAACUCUAAUUAUUGAAACAAACUUGACAGAAUUAUAGGAUGGGAAACAAGCUAGAAAAGUAAAUGGAACUUUUCUUAGCCUUGCAUUAAACUUUGUGGAACAUUGUAAAUCAGUGUUUAUUUAUUUCAAAGUAAUAGUAAUUUGAACAUAAUUUCCCCAGAAUCUGAAACAACUGUUAUUUUCUUUUCAACCAAAUUCAAAGCUAAUGCCAUGCAUAUGUUAAUUACAAUAUGCAUUGUUUAUGUGAAACAAGUUAUCUUCUUAUAGCAAUUUGAUAAGCUGAUUGCCAUAUCUCUAAUGGGCAUACAGUUUGGAUAAACCCUGUUUGAUGCCAGUUUGUAACUUUACUCUCACUUUGUUCUCUGAGAUGAAGAAAAGAGCUGUCUCCUUUUAUUUGCGACCUGUGGUCUGACAUUAUAAAGUAGAAUGAAAUGAAGGGCAUGCAUAUUUCAAUUUAGGUGCUUCCUGUUAUAGCAGCAGAAAAAUCCAACCUAAUUUGCUUUACUUUUUUUUUUAACUUAUUAUCUCACAUAACAGAUCCACCCAAGGUAGCGAACCUCCAGAGUUGGUUAGUUGAUCAGGCCAGCGGCAUCACCAGUGAUCAUAAAGGCAGGGAGAGAGAACUCUCUCUUUUCUUGUGCUGUCAGAAGAGCAACUCGACUUUCCCAGAAAGUUCCUGUUGGACUCAUUUCCUUCCCAAGUUAGGAGGACCCUGUUACUACAUCGGUAGCUCAGACAGACCAUGAUUUCACUCUUUGUGAGGUGAACCUGCCUCCUCUGAUGUACAUGGGAAGAAAAGGAGCAAAAUCAUUUUUUUUGCUUUAGAAAGAAUUGUUAGUAUGGGAGAGAACAAUUUCAAGAUAAGGAAAUUAUAGUAUCUGGUACUAUUAGAUUGUUUGCAUUUUGAAUAAUUGCCUCAUAAAUUAUGAUAGAUUCUUGAUGAGAAGCAUCCAUUCAAUGUUUAGUUUUUUUUUUUUAACACUGAGUAUUCAGUGCCAGCCAUCACCACCCCCUCCCUAAAACAGACAAACAUGCAAAGAAGCAGGAGGUUUAGUUUUUUGUUUUUAGAACUUAAAAUAUUGAUUCAUAAUUUUAUGAGGAAAAAUGUAAUUUUCAGGGAAAUAUUUGAAAAGAAAGAUACAUAAUGAGGAAUGACUAGCCUUAUACCAUGUAAAAACUGUUAUACAUCUAUUUUAAUAAGUACUUUUUUGGGUGUUCAUUGAUUCAUCAUAGUUCAUAAACACCAGUAAAACAGAGUCCAGAUUUCUGAAAAAUUGAGGAUUAGUUUAAUGUAGAGUUUCAAGUUGUUAGUUUUUGCCCAAACUCAUUCCUUUUAACAAAAUGAAUCACUGGUAAAUAAACAUUUAAACAUUAAAA